UACGGAGGGGGCUAGCGUUAUUCGGAAUUACUGGGCGUAAAGCGCACGUAGGCGGAUUGGAAAGUCAGAGGUGAAAUCCCAGAGCUCAACUUUGGAACUGCCUUUGAAACUCCCAGUCUUGAGGUCGAGAGAGGUGAGUGGAAUUCCGAGUGUAGAGGUGAAAUUCGUAGAUAUUCGGAGGAACACCAGUGGCGAAGGCGGCCAUCUGGGACAACACUGACGCUGAGGCACGAAAGCGUGGGGAGCAAACAGG
rnacentral:rRNA from 1 species